rnacentral:rRNA from 1 species
AACGAACGCUGGCGGCAGGCCUAAAACAUGCAAGUCGAGCGCCCAGCAAUGGGAGCGGCGGACGGGUGAGUAACACGUGGGAAUGUACCUUUCGGUGCGGAACAACUCAGGGAAACUUGAGCUAAUGCCGCAUACGCCUACGGGAAGAUUAUCGCCGAAGAUCAGCCCGCGUUGGAUUAGCUUGUUGGUGAGGUAAUGGCUCACCAAGGCGACGAUCCAUAGCUGGUGUAGAGAACGACCAGCCACACUGGGACUGAGACACGGCCCACGACUCCUACGGGAGGGC